rnacentral:rRNA from 1 species
AUGGCGAUGGAGAGGUUCUUCACGACGCUCGUCUUCUGUGAGGCGCCGCUAGACGGCUAUGGCACAUCGGUGCUCACCGCCGGCACGGUCAAAAGGCUGGUCUCUCGUGGCGGCGAUGCGACCGAGCCGGCGGUGGCUAACAAGCCAGACGCUGAGAAGGAGCAGGGUUUCUUCUCUGGCAAGCCGACUUCCGAAAGGCGCGCUGCUUUCGAGCUUGCCUUCGACGGCGUCAAUUGCUUCGACACCAUGGUUAUGCACUAA